UUUAUACUCCGCCCGUCCAGAAAUUCUUGUCUUACAUUUGUCUACAUACGGAUGUAUUUAAUAUUAAAACGUGACUUGAUACAUCCGUAGUUAGACAAGUUUAAGACAAGAAUUUUGGGACGGAGGAAGUAUAUA
rfam:Triticum aestivum genome assembly, contig: Triticum_aestivum_CS42_TGACv1_scaffold_500515_6BL